GCCUCCUUAGCUCAGUGGUUAGAGCACUGGUCUUGUAAACCAGGGAUCAUGAGUUCGAAUCUCAUGGGCGGCU
rnacentral:tRNA from 1 species